AUUAGGGUGUCUGAUUAAGGAGGUAAACUGUAAAUUUACUUAUGAAUAAUAAAUUCCCCUGGUA
rnacentral:tRNA from 1 species